UUAAUAAAAUGCAAUUUUACAAUAUACACUGCUCGAAUAUUAGAAUGCGCGAGUCAACCGGCUUGCUGUCUAAACACGUUACCGAUCGUUAUACGCACCCAUUCUUUGACAAAUGCGUUUAUCAAGAAGGCCAUUUUCACAAGGCAAUGGCAUCCAGAUUUUCUUGAGCGGGUUUUGAGUUAGUUCCCGCGGCGUUGCAGCGUUUGAUGGUCUUGCUUCCAUUCCGACUACCACGGAGGACAUGGUGGCCUCUGCUACUGUGGCGCGGAGCCUUGCUUCUGUUGGAGCGUUACAGGAGAUCUGACUCGCAUCAGUGCUGUUUGAUGAGGUCUGCUGGUGGUUGGCAUAAUGGACUAAGGAACCAUUAUGAUUGAAUGUUAUGCAUGACAACAGUGGUUCCAUGUGUUGUGUCGAGGAAUGAAGACAAAGAGUUCAGAGUGAAGAACACAAGCUGGAAGUGAUGUCUGUUGUUGAAAAUGUAUGCUAUACCCCAUCCACACUGAAGAGGCUCGGAAAUGCAUCAACCAGGGAUAAAGAGAAAGUGAACACUGAAAUGUUUUGUACUUAUUUGAAGUAAAGUGUCUGACAUAUUGUAGACUUUUAAUCUUUUCAAACUUCUGUUUAAUUUGUCAAUAUCCCAUUUUUCUUCAUUGAUUUUCUGGCCACCAUUACUGCGGUUACAUGUUCAGUAUUUGUAUUGACCAGCAAACCCACCUUACUCUCCAUCCCGGCUUUGGACAAUUAAUAAAACAUGACUCUCA